rnacentral:rRNA from 1 species
UCCAGACUCCUACGGGAGGCAGCAGUGGGGAAUAUUGGGCAAUGGGCGCAAGCCUGACCCAGCAACGCCGCGUGAAGGAAGAAGGCUUUCGGGUUGUAAACUUCUUUUGACAGGGAAGAGCAGAAGACGGUACCUGUCGAAUAAGCCACGGCUAACUACGUGCCAGCAGCCGCGGUAAUACGUAGGUGGCAAGCGUUGUCCGGAUUUACUGGGUGUAAAGGGCGUGUAGCCGGGCUUACAAGUCAGAUGUGAAAUCCGGGGGCUCAACCCCCGAACUGCAUUUGAAACUGGCAAACUGGAGUGUGUGAGAGGAUAGUGGAAUUCCAGGUGUAGGAGUGAAAUCCGUAGAUAUCUGGAGGAACAUCAGUGGCGAAGGCGACUACCUGGCACAUAACUGACGCUGAGGAGCGAAAGCGUGGGUAGCAAACAGGAUUAGAUACCCUAGUA